rnacentral:rRNA from 1 species
CCGGCGACCGGCGCACGGGUGAGUAACACGUAUGCAACCUGCCCGUGGCAGGGGGAUGAGCGGGGGAAACCCCGUCUAAUACCGCGUAACGCGGCCUUGGGGCAUCCCAAGGCCGCCAAAGGGAGCAAUCCCGGCCACGGAUGGGCAUGCGGCGCAUUAGCUAGUCGGCGGGGUAACGGCCCACCGAGGCGACGAUGCGUAGGGGUUCUGAGAGGAAGGCCCCCCACACUGGUACUGAGACACGGACCAGACUCCUACGGGAGGCAGCAG